rnacentral:rRNA from 1 species
CCUACGGGUGGCAGCAGUGGGGAAUAUUGGUCAAUGGGCGCAAGCCUGACCCAGCAACGCCGCGUGAAGGAAGACGGCUCUCGGGUUGUAAACUUCUUUUAAGGGGGAAGAGCAGAAGACGGUACCCCUUGAAUAAGCCACGGCUAACUACGUGCCAGCAGCCGCGGUAAUACGUAGGUGGCAAGCCUUGUCCGGAUUUACUGGGUUUAAAGGGCGUGCAGCCGGGGAGACAAGUCAGAUGGGAAAUCCACGGGCUCAACCCGUGAACUGCAUUUGAAACUGUUUCCCUUGAGUGUGGGAGAGGUAAUCGGAAUGCCUGGUGUAGCGGUGAAAUGCGUAGAUAUAAGGAAGAACAGCAGUGGCGAAGGCGGAUUACUGGACGAUAACUGACGGUGAGGCGCGAAAGCGUGGGGAGCAAACAGGAUUAGAUACCCGAGUAGUC